rnacentral:lncRNA from 1 species
ACCUCUGUAGCAGGAUGAUUUGGGUAAGUUGUUUUAAAAGCACAUUAUUUUGAUAAUAGCUUAACUCUUUAAAAAACUGCAUACUACCAAUUUACUGCACAAUCUAUGGCACACUACCAAUCCUUGUAUUCCAAGAUAACAGUUCUGAUAGUAUCACUUCUCUUCUUGGACUACAUAGGUCUGCAUUAUUUAUUAUCAAAGGCUUGGUUCACAACAGUGGUCUAUAUAACAAGAUUUUUCUUGUCCUGGUGUAUCUUUCCCAUAGUACCAUUUUGCCUGAUGUAAUACAUGCAAAUCAACCAUGGGGUGGAGCAGGUCUCCAGGAUUAAUGACGUUGUCCACAAAGCAUUGUCUGCUAUUUUCCUUCUCUGUUCUAUUCAAUUUGUUUCUAUUUUAUAUUGGUUGCUUCUUUUAUAAUAAAUGCUGCAAAACCAUCAUGGC